rnacentral:rRNA from 1 species
GACGAACGCUGGCGGCGUGCCUAAUACAUGCAAGUAGAACGCUGAAGGAGGAGCUUGCUUCUCUGGAUGAGUUGCGAACGGGUGAGUAACGCGUAGGUAACCUGCCUGGUAGCGGGGGAUAACUAUUGGAAACGAUAGCUAAUACCGCAUAAGAGUAGAUGUUGCAUGACAUUUGCUUAAAAGGUGCAAUUGCAUCACUACCAGAUGGACCUGCGUUGUAUUAGCUAGUUGGUGAGGUAACGGCUCACCAAGGCAACGAUACAUAGCCGACCUGAGAGGGUGAUCGGCCACACUGGGACUGAGACACGGCCCAGACUCCUACGGGAGGCAGCAGUAGGGAAUCUUCGGCAAUGGACGGAAGUCUGACCGAGCAACGCCGCGUGAGUGAAGAAGGUUUUCGGAUCGUAAAGCUCUGUUGUAAGAGAAGAACGAGUGUGAGAGUGGAAAGUUCACGGGGUGACG